UAGAAAUAAAAUAACAGUUCUUUAAACUUCCCAGAGAAGAUAUUUAUCUAAAAUUAUAAGUUGUCUAUUUCCAUAAAGUCGUGUGACAUUUGCAGCUCUAAAUGAGCUUAAUUAGGCUGACCUGACAGCAGAAAUGACUCUAGUUUGUAAAGAUUGCCCCCUGUCCCCUGCUCUCUCAGCGGGAAAAGGCAACCUGCCGUGAAGCAAAAAAAAAAAAAAUGUUUUCAGGAAAAGAGAAAAGCUUCCAGGAGCAGAACAAGGGGUUUGAGGAUCUGAGUUGAUUUAAAAUUCACCUCAUUUCACUAGCUAGGACCACGCCACGAAGAUAUUACAUUUGAAAAUGUAUUGAUGAAUGGAUGAAGGGAUGAGCGAUGAUCUGACUGGAUUCUGAAGAGGCGGCUCCUGUACAAAAGAGAAUGGGUGGAAUAAAGUUUGAGAGAGAUGUCUGAUCUUAACAGGUCUGAGAUGCGGAGUGAACCUUCAGAUGAAACGCUUGCUGAAAUUCUGGUCUGAAAAUAAAGACUGGCUCAUAGGGACUGAGGAUGGAAUUAGGAUGGAAGAGAUGAUAUGAGAAAUGUAAGAUUUCUCUGACUAAUGAUACAAUUGCAUGGUUCACGUAGUCAAGAAAUGUAAGCAACUGUUAUUGGAAACAUUUAUCAGUGGGUAAAAUUAAAUAGAGCAAAGCGAUUUAAUUGAUCUUUCAGGGCUACAUGACGAACAAAAGUGAGGAAAGCUGUGAAGUAAAAGCUCUUUUCCAAGACAUGUCUAUGAGUGCCAGAAAAUCUGGGUGAAUGAGGAGGACUUUGAAGAUGUCUGCUUUACAGAGCCCAGAGCCUUGGCCUGCUAAGCGAAUGAUUAUAAUGAUCUUAUCGAAUCCUUCUUUGACUUCUUUGGCUAGAAAUGAGUCAACUGUGUCAGGAUCUGAAGGAGUAAACUGAAAAUAGAGACAGUGAUAAGUGGAAUUUUUAAUAUCUAUGCCCAAGUGAAAACCAUGAAUGAGUCCGUCAACGAGAAAGUUAAAUUCUCUAUCAGGAUGGUGUUUAAGGGCAGGAAUGAGAGCAUUCACCUUGAUUUAGAGUAAAGAUAUCGUUUUUGUAAAUUUACAGUAGAAGAAGGGUUGUGGGGUCAGAAUAUCCUUGCAUAGACGCCAAAUGGUGAGUUAUAGACACAAAUUAACAGGCAUGCAGCAGUUUGCGGCUGGAGACCGAACUGCCAAGAUAGUUGAAAUAAUUGCAGAGAGUUAGUCAUUGAAUUCGGACCGGAACUGAAUACUAGAGUGUCUGGAAUUCUUAUUGAGGAAACCAAUAGCCUUUGAGGUUUGCAGCAAGAUGUUCGUUUUCUAUAAUUCUAUUGUUAAGCUCACUCUGACUGCUUAUGUGAGGUAAGUUUUCAAUUAUUAGAAAAUCUUUAAAAUUAUUUUGAAUUUUACAGUGACAAAUGCAUCAAUUGUGAUCAUCCAUGGGAAAUCCUGAUAUUCUUAAUAAUGAUGGUUUAUCUUCAUGUUUUUAGAUGAAAACAGGUCAAUAAAAUUACAAUAGUUAAUUUGUUUUUGUAUGUAUAAUUAAAUGAUUGGCCUGUCCUUCCCAAUUCUGAUGAGUCUGCACUGAGGAGCAGACAUGAACUACCACACAAAGUCAGAUAAAUAACCUAGUUACUGUUUAUCUACAGUACUUUUAAUUCAUUUAAUCCAAUUUAAUGAAGUCAUGCUGAGAAGGUUAAAUGCAAAACACAACCAUGCUUGGGGGUAAUAAACAAGAGAUUAUUGUUUAUAAUAACUGACAAUAAGGGCACCAAAUCAAUUGCUGCCAAUGACCUGAAAUAAUCUUGGGCCGGCUUUGUGAAUGAUAAGGAUUAAUUGAAUUGCUAUGGUUUUAAGGUGAGGCGUUAUUAAAUCAAUACAAUCUUUCCUAAUUUAUUGACUGAAAAUUCAUUUCAGUUCAAUAAGUUUUAAUGGUUAAAAAGAGGAAAUAAAUAGAGAUCUAUGUAGAAAGAAUACAAAUUAUACAAAUAAAUAAAUAAAUAACAAACUGCAUUCCUGGUCUUUUAUUAACAUGUCUAACUUGAUAUAAAGGUAAAAGCAUUUUUUUGGAAGUCAGACAGAGGCUACAUCAAGAGGUAACUGACAUAACAAAACUGUAUAAAAAACAUCAAAAAGUUCUCAUUUUUAUUCAAACCACAACAUUUUUGAAUUCCAAGCAAUCCCAGCAGAUUUCCCAAAAUAAUCUGCUGGGAUUAUUUUGAAUCCAAAAACAGCUACCCUUUCCCUAACUUGAUAAUGGCCGAAACACCCUGAGACCCUGAGGUGCACUAAUGACAAUGUGUCCUUAAUUAAUUGUGUUGUUGGGGAUUUAUGUGUGUGUGUGUGUGUGUGUGUGUGUAUGGGUGGGGCUUUCACUUUAAGAGGUGCAGCCCAGCUGCCGAAGUCACAUGACAUGUCAUGUGACUUCGGCCAGGAAGCCAAGCUGAGUUAGAUUCAUGUCACCCAUGUGUUUAAUCAAUCCAGUUUAAUCUGUAUCUAUCUUUGCCCGGACGAAGCAUUGUGGUUUCACACUUCCUUGAAACCAUUAAACCUGUGGACAAAAGGUCAACUUGCCUCAGAGUCUUUGGGUCAGGGAAGAGUUUAGCUGUACUGUCUAGUGCUUUUCAUAUGGCGAAGGCAGUAUAUUAAUAUUUAUUUAAUAAUUUAGGUAAAUCGGUGUAACUUUAUUACACCGAUUUACCUCGAGUUAACCUGGACUCCUAGUACAUUUUUACACCUCUCAUGGCAGAUUGCCCUUCUGAAGGUUUACAAUAACUAUGUGCUCAACUACUGCUAGAAUUUACUGUCUUUUGGGUUUUGCACUGUAAAAACGUGCUUUCCUUACUGCUCGACUUAGUACCUUUAGACAUUUGGGGAUGGGUUCAUUGUCUUUUUAACAUUCAGAUUAAUUAACUGAGGUUAGUUGGGGAGUUCUAUUACAGUUUUAGGCGUUUUAGUUGGUUUUCAUUCAAUUUGAUCAUGUUUAAAUGUAGAUAGGCACUCAUUCUUUGCUCGAAUGCUUCCAGUUGGAACGGGAAGCUGCAGAUGGCGUGCGGUGGCCCAUGCAUUGCCUUUGGCUUUCCUCUAACCACCCAGUCGACGGACGAGGUGAGGAAAGUCAUUGAGAGCUUGAAUCCCUAACCCUUACCCUACCACCCUGCAAAGAUGUUCCUACUCCUUGGACCUUUCCACAUUUUGACACAUUAUAAUUACAAAUUUUAAUGUAUUUAGUUGGAUUUAGUAAUACCAACACAAAGCAAUGCACAACUGCAAAAUGGGAGGAACAUUAUACAGGUGCUGGUCAUAAAAUUUGAAUAUCAUGAAAAAGUUGAUUUAAAUCAGUAAUCCCAUUC